rnacentral:rRNA from 1 species
UAAUACAUGCAAGUCGAACGCACUCUCGUUUAGAUUGAAGGAGCUUGCUCCUGAUUGAUAAACAUUUGAGUGAGUGGCGGACGGGUGAGUAACACGUGGGUAACCUGCCCUAAAGUGGGGGAUAACAUUUGGAAACAGAUGCUAAUACCGCAUAAAACCUAACACCGCAUGGUGUAGGGUUGAAAGAUGGUUUCGGCUAUCACUUUAGGAUGGACCCGCGGUGCAUUAGUUAGUUGGUGAGGUAAAGGCUCACCAAGACCGUGAUGCAUAGCCGACCUGAGAGGGCAAUCGGCCACACUGGGACUGAGACACGGCCCAGACUCCUACGGGAGGCAGCAGUAGGGAAUCUUCCACAAUGGACGAAAGUCUGAUGGAGCAACGCCGCGUGAGUGAAGAAGGUUUUCGGAUCGUAAAACUCUGUUGUUGGAGAAGAAUGUAUCUGAUAGUAACUGAUCAGGUAGUGACGGUAUCCAACCAGAAAGCCACGGCUAACUACGUGCCAGCAGCCGCGGUAAUACGUAGGUGGCAAGCGUUGUCCGGAUUUAUUGGGCGUAAAGCGAGCGCAGGCGGUUUCUUAAGUCUGAUGUGAAAGCCUUCG